CUUGACCGAGCCCAGCCAUACCGGGUCGGCGGGAUCGCGGUCCUGGCCGUAGGUGGCGAGGAGCGCGCCGGCCUC
rnacentral:antisense_RNA from 1 species